CACACCUGACAGGCAGGGUGCAGGAGGCACGGGCUGGGCAGCUGUGAGCAAUGGGCUGCUCUAAGCUGGCUGUGCUUAGUGUAACUUACCUCAGAAAUUUAAUAAAAACAUUCACAAUACACUGCCCCCACCCUCAUAUUGCGACUGACUCUGAUAAAUAUACCCCAUUCCUCACACAAAUUACAUUAAAAAAAAAACACUCUUAUAAAACACUGUACCCCCCACUCCAUACUGCAACUGAUUAUAAAAAUACAAAUUCUCACACAAAUUAAAUAAUAAAAAUCACUCACAAAACACUUUGCCC